GAUGAAGAACGCAGCGAAAUGCGAUAAGUAAUGCGAAUUGCAGAAUUCAGUGAAUCAUCGAAUCUUUGAACGCACAUUGCGCCCGCCAGUAUUCUGGCGGGCAUGCCUGUUCGAGCGUCAUUUCAACCCUCAAGCUCAGCUUGGUGUUGGGACUCGCGGUAACCCGCGUUCCCCAAAUCGAUUGGCGGUCACGUCGAGCUUCCAUAGCGUAGUAAUCAUACACCUCGUUACUGGUAAUCGUCGCGGCCACGCCGUAAAACCCCAACUUCUGAAUGUUGACCUCGGAUCAGGUAGGAAUACCCGCUGAACUUAAGCAUAUCAAUAAGCGGAGGA
rnacentral:misc_RNA from 1 species